AACGAACGCUGGCGGCAUGCCUAACACAUGCAAGUCGAACGAGACCUUCGGGUCUAGUGGCGCACGGGUGCGUAACGCGUGGGAACCUGCCCUUAGGUUCGGAAUACCUCCCCGAAAGGGGUGCUAAUACCGGAUAAUGUCUUCGGACCAAAGAUUUAUCGCCUUUGGAUGGGCCCGCGUUGGAUUAGCUAGUUGGUAGGGUAAAAGCCUACCAAGGCGACGAUCCAUAGCUGGUCUGAGAGGAUGAUCAGCCACACUGGGACUGCGACACGGCCCAGACUGCUACGGGAGGCAGCAGAGGGGAAUAUUGGACAAUGGGCGAAGGCCUGAUCCAGCAAUGCCGCGUGAGUGAUGAAGGCCUUAGGGUUGUAAAGCUCUUUUACCCGGGAUGAUAAUGACAGUACCGGGAGAAUAAGCUCCGGCUAACUCCGUG
rnacentral:rRNA from 1 species